UACGUAGGGGGCAAGCGUUGUCCGGAAUCAUUGGGCGUAAAGAGCGUGUAGGCGGCUCGGUAAGUCCGCUGUGAAAGUCCAGGGCUCAACCCUGGAAUGCCGGUGGAUACUGUCGGGCUCGAGUCCGGAAGAGGAGUGUGGAAUUCCUGGUGUAGCGGUGAAAUGCGCAGAUAUCAGGAGGAACACCAAUGGCGAAGGCAGCACUCUGGGACGUGACUGACGCUGAGACGCGAAAAGCGUGGGGAGCAAAC
rnacentral:rRNA from 1 species